GAGGGUAUAGCUUAGUAGUGGAGCGUGUGCUUAGUACGCAUGAGGUCCUGGGUUCAAUCCCCAGUACCUCCA
rfam:Camelus ferus unplaced genomic scaffold scaffold394, whole genome shotgun sequence.